AGAGUGGCUGUAUAUUCAGGUCAGAACAACUGUGGUUAGUCAAGGAAGUUUCUUACUGCCUUCCCUGGGAGAGGCUGGAGAAGUGAGAGACGACGCUACUGUGGGAGUUUACACGUAGGUCCAUAUCCAUCAGAAGACGAGAACCACAGAAACAGCAGAUAAUAUGUAUAUAUUAGAGAAUUUUGARCAUGUCAGAGUAUGCAAAAGCUAUACUUUUCUAGUCACUAAGAAGAAGGUAUGGCUCAUUAAUUGUAAAUAAUAUAUGAUGGAUCAACGUCUUCAUAACAACUUUGAACUUCACUGAGAGGAGUACAGCUCAAGCACUUCUGCCAGAAAUAUGCAGUUCUUCCAGAAGUCCACACUGGAAUUGAGUGUCAUUUCAGGGAAGAAG